CUAGAAGACAAAAAGAAAUCCCCGAUUGCUUCCUUCGCUGCCCCUCUCUCCUGUUUCUCUUCUCUGGAUUCCCCAAGCCAAAGCCAGCCGCCGCCGACUUCCCAACCCCGGCCUCCACUCCACCGCCGGCGGCCUCUCCCCCUCUCCCUGGACGCAUAUCCACUCGAGCAGCACAGCCCACGGUCAGAUCCGCCCCUCCGUCCUCGCGCCAGAAACCCUAGCCGUCCGGCGAUGGCGACCGACCGCAGGCACAGGCCUCGACGACGGUGGCGCCACGGAGCGGAGCUUCCUCUGCCCGGGACGCCGCUCAUGUGCUCGUCAAGGUCCGCUGCUCCUUCCUCCAGUCCCAGACCCAGGAUAAGCAGCAGCAGCAUGAAGUGAACUUUAAAACAGGCUAUUCAAGCAGGAGUAUGUGUAGACAUAUUUGUUGUAACUGAUGAAUACACCGAUUUGGCUUCGUCGAAGUGUUAAAGUAUUUAAAGUGGUGGCUCAUUAUUCUCUAUGCAAACUCGGAUGAUUCCACACUUGACCAGGACAUGUGUCGCCUGUUGAGUAGAUCCUAUGCAUUUGGUUGUGUUCUCAGGCUGAGAACAUCACAAGAUUUCGAUCCUAGCCACUCUCCAAAGGGAGUGCAUGGUUCUACUAGCUUAUUUGUGUUCGAGCCUCCAACAGGCUAUGGAUGCCCCAAGAUUUGAAGCAUGUUACACAAAAAUACAUGAGUUCAUGGGGGAGCACGUCAAUAAGGCUGCUGCAUGAGUUCAUGUCAUCGGCAGUGGCUCGCUCGUCAACAAGGCCGAUGAAAUCAGGGGGAGCACGAGCGUGUCCGGGGACGGGCACACUUUAUGCUUCUUUAAUUCACUGCAGCAAAAUACUAACAGCAUCAACAUCGACAGCGUUCGUCACUCCCCUGACGGCGUCUCCGGUGCCAAAGGUGUCCGAUCGAACUCAGUUGGAGGCCAAACAGGUUCGGCUCUCGGACAUGCCAUCAAUAACGCUCGAUGACACCGAUACGCAGACUGUAAGUUUACCCCCUCAGCCCAUAUUGGUGUGAGACACCCUGCAUUUACAUGAUAUUGCUAGGAACGCGUGCAAAUUGCAUAAUUUGUUAUACAUGCUUACUUGAUCACCGAUGUGCUGUUAAUUGGACCUCAAGAAUAGAGAUGACACCUUACCAUAGGCAGCUCUUAAUUAUGUGCGCGUUAAUUCAAUUCUGAAAGUUGAUUCAAGUCUAUAGUGCUUCAAGUAGAUUCAUAGAAGCAAUUCCGUUAGUAUGUGAACAAAAACCUCAUCUUAUAUGUGUGGCCGGAGUUGCAGAAUAUGAAUAGGGGAAUGAUCAUAGAUGCCAACACCUACAGUGUGAUUUAUCUUGAUAGAGGUGCAAUGGAUUCGUAAGUAGUUUUGAUGUUUUUUCUAGAUAGCUCAAGUACUUAAGCUUCUGCAGUCAUGAAAAACAAAAGAAGGGACCAGUAGUCAGGUUCCAUUAAUCCUUCUAUAGGUGUUCUCUUUGAUGCCUUUCCCCCUUCAUUACCAUGACAAUGAUGCUUUCUCUGUUAACCUUCUCGGUGGUGUUGGGCGCUGUGCUCUUGACCUUGAAAGUGUAUUUGCAACUUUACUCAUAAUACCUUUGUGUGAUAGUGAGGCAAUUUAGUUGCAUGCCUUCAGUUACAAAAAAAGUCCUUGAAAUAAAAAAGAAAGAAAAAGUAACAAGAGUUGUUGAAAAUACGAAUGGGUCAUCAAUGGUCAUAGAACAGGAGAGCAAUUUGAAUGGACAAUGGAAACAUUUGUAAAAGAAGCAGCUAAACGGAGGCCGCUCGCCCAGAGUGUCUCGGAGGAGGAUGUCACACUGAUUACGAGUCGAGGGACUAGUCGAGACUAGUCGACAGACUAGUCUAUGAGUCGCAACUUGAGUGUCGACUACAAAUCUCGUGUAGACUACUUGGUGUAGUCGAGCAGUCGACAGACUAGUCUGGACUAGUCGAGCUAUUUGAGUCGAGCGACUCAAAAUUUUGAGGGGAUAAGUCACCCAGCCUGGCCGGAGCUCGUGCUCGGGCGGCAGCCAUGGCCGUGACAUGUAGGCGCGCGCGGCCCUGAGACGAGAGAGAAGGAAGAGAGAUAGAGGAGAGGAGAGGAGGAGGCAUGGAGGUGGUCGGCGGCAGCGGCAGGGGCCGGUGGAAGGCAGCUGGAGGCGCGGGUCACGCACGCGUGCUCCCGUGUGUGAUGGUGCUGGCGGCGGCAAUGGGAUCGAUCGGGAGCUAGGGUUCCAGUGACGGGAGCUAAGUAGGCUGGCCACUUGGGCCCAAAUGGGCCAGCUGGGGGGUGUUGUGUGGUGCUGGGCUGGGCCUGGCGAGCGUUGCCCAACACUUCUGGUUUUAUUGCAUACUGUACUGUUUAUAUAUACUACUACUAGUAGUUAUUAACAAUAGUUGAGUACUACAGUACCAUGUCGACUAGUCCAGCACUAGUCUAGACUAGUCACGAUUAGUCUAUGAGUCUCAACCUCGGAACGACUCGUCGACUCGUAAACCUUGGGAUGUCACUGCCGCUGGAUUGGCGGAUGACUACUUCUCGGUGGCGUAUGGAUGUCGCACUGUAUGGAUCUUGAUCUGUAGUUGGAUAGUUCCUGACCUCAUUCUAGGAGGCUGAUUGGAGCCUGGUACUUCACUUUUUUCCUUACUGAUAAAUGCUCAUGUUCAUUAAUUUGGUAAUGCUCAUGACAUUGCACAUGAGUUGCUGCGAGCCAAGCGAUAGAAAAGUUUGAAACUAAUGCUGCAGUUGAUGUUUCUUUUUGUUCUUCUUCAUGACAUUUUUUUGGGUUCAGCAUGUUGAUAAGAACUACUCCCUCUGUUUCCAAAUAUAAGUCUUUUUAGAGAUUUCAAUGUGGACUAGAUACGGAUGUAUAUAGACGGAUUUUAGAGUGAGAUUCACCCAUUCCACCGUAUGUAGUCCAUAUUGAAAUCUUCUAACAAGACUUAUAUUUAGGAACGGAGGGAGUACUUUGUUUGUAGUCUUUGUACAACCUGCUUUGUUCAGAAGAAUGUUCUAUCAGGCAACCAUGUCUGAUAUGUUCACAUGACUUCUUUCAUGUGGCCGUUCCUCACAUUCCUUUGCUUCCAAGUUCCAACUAUUCCAGUCAGCUGCAAUGAAGCCCUCCAUAGAGAAGGGUUUGCAGAUAAUGAUCUUGGCAUCCCAGAUAAGCAGGUCGGGGACAAAGCCAGUGCCGAGGGGGAUUUCAAUGGAUCACCAACACGAGAAACUGAAAUGGCAGGACCAGAAAAGAUGGUCCCAGAUCUCACUGCAGCAGGAUGUGCAAGAACACAUCAAUGAUCAUCUGUGAGACUAACACUGAAAUUUUGUUGAUGGAGCAUUAGCUCUGCUAUUUAGCUUCUAGAGUACAAUGACUUGUACGUACAACUAUAACAGCUAGCAGCAUGGUUUAUCCCCUUCUGGUUCUACUAUUUCUCUAGAGUGAUGGCAUAGGAAGAGCAUGUGUAUAUGUUGAGGUUAGUCUUCUGAAACUAAUGCUGCAGAUGUUCUUUGUAGACUCAGCAUGUGUAUUUAUUUUAUUUUUACUUCUUUGUGACGUUUGUUGGUUUGGCAUGUGG
rnacentral:rRNA from 1 species